CAGAGCCAGUACACGGUUCAGUUUGGUGUAAACCAUGGGUCAGACCUUUAAGUGGUUUCGGGAGAACGAAGUGGGCUGGGUCAUGGGGCUGGUGGCUAGCCAUCAGCAGGAGUGAGAGCGCAGCGUCUCCAGGUCACCGCUAAUGGUCAACAAGGACACCUUGGCCUGCUAGUCUAAUGCCUCCACAUGUACAGGGCAGAGAUACUACAGGGCCUGUAUGAGCCCAUGGACAAGGACCACAUUGGGUAAGAUCAGUAAUUUGAAUAACAAUGUCAUGCUGACUGGCACAUUCACUAAGGGCGGAGUGAUUCUCCCAGUGUUGCUGUGCACGGCUCUAACUCUUCCGAGUCGUUCCACCUCAACCAGUUCAGUAAUAAAUUGUAACUAUUUGUAAGCAGCCCUUAGGAUUAGACUCAACUUUAUUGUCAUUGAACAGUACGAGUACAGUACAACAAAAUGCAGUUAGCAUCUAACCAGAAGUGCAAAUAGAAGAGGGCAGGAUAUUUACAGGCAUUAAGGAUAGCGAAUGUUACAAGUGGAAUGUACAUAUAACGUUUAUAAGCAUAUUACACUUGUGUAUCUAAAAUACUCAAUGCUUCUACCAUACUGUCCAUACUCCCCAAUCCAAUUCUUUCACAAUUGAAGCUAGUUUAAUUUUCUUUGUGUAUCAUUGCCAUACUUGCCAUAUCUGCAAUAUUCAAUACUACUACUAAUAUUGCUGCUAGUUUACAGCACUUUUUAAAUGUUAUGUAUAUUAUUUCUUCAUCCUCUUAUAUUUUUUAUUAUUUUCUGUCUAGCUAUUAUUUUGCUUAUAGGGUCUUCUUAACUGUCACUACGUAGUUGUCGGGUGCCAUGUCACAGGAAUUUCAUUGUACUGUGUUGUUCAGUGGACUUGACAAAUCAACCUUGAAAACUUUAACGUAUAGAUUUGCAAUGCAUAAACAGUGCAAAUGGCAAUUCUAAAUGAGCCAUGAAGGCAAAUAAGGGAGGACAGAAAAUCUACAAGUAUUCGGUAUAAUGUAUGUACAAGUGGGAAGUGAGUAGUUGUGCAAUGAGGCAAAUGCAAGUACAAAUUGCAUUUCUGAGUGUGCAAUCGAGCAAAUUUAAGGUAUGUGCAACUGAAAUGCAGGGAUUAAGUAUAUUAAGCCACGUGACCAGGAGGAGCUGCCCCAAUCUCCCCCUGCAGAUCUUAAAUAGUCUUCAUGGUACGUAUUAGUAUCAGUAUAUAUGACCAGUUAAUUCAAUAAAGUAGAAUCGUUGUUUUAUUCAGUCGAGAACGUUCCGCUCUCUCAAUUGUUACAGUAUUCUGAAAAGACUGACAGGUCCGUCAGCCAAUCCCAGUCGUCGCUUGUCUCAAUUAUCAGAAAAACACACAAAAAAAUGGAAAGGAUGGGACCUUGUCUCAAAUACCAUGGCCCAACUGCUGUUUCACUUUUCAGGUAUGGUCCAAUCAUUUUCGUCCCUUGAGUUCAGCCCCGACUGCAUAACAGUUUUCAUCGGGUUUACGGUAGUCAUUACAAUUUCAGAGCAUUUCUCAAAGUGCACACUAAAGUCGAACUUAACAAAAUAGCUGUCAUUACGAUGUCAUGUAUGCUUCGCGUCUGCGUUUAGGUUGACGUUAUCUUAUUUAGCGUCAUUAGCCAUUAGCUUUUUGGCAUGUUCAGCAUGUAGCGGUUGUACUGUACAGCUGUAUACAAGCUAACUAUAAACAAACAUUCACAGUAGUGAAGUACAGCUGGUUAUCUCAACUGAGAAAUCUGCAUUGUUAAUUGCACUUUUUCCUGACCAGGCUGUGGUGUGCAAGAAGCUGAGGCAGAGGCGUGGGCCCGUGUCGUCUCUGAGGGUGGUGACCCUGAUGCAGAGAUGCUGGUUCUGUGCCGGUAUACGGUUCAGUUCAGCGUGUACUGGGGUCAGACCUUUAAGUGGCUUCUGGAGAACGACGUGGGUUAGGGGCUGGUGGUUAGCCCAUCAGCAGGAGCGAGAGCGCAGCGUCUCCAGAUCUCUGCUGAUUGUCAGCAAGGACACCUUGACCCUCUACUCUAAUGCAUCACAGCCAAGACAGGAGAGCCACGCCCUUGUUGGCGUCCACAGGUACAGGGCAGAGACCAUAGAUAUAGAUAUGAAGCAUUGACGGGACAUAUAGUUCUACCUGACGUCUCAAUAGCUCCGCCGUUUUACGUGGGACCAGUUCGGAAAAGUCAAGCCACUUACACUAGUCAUGGUUGUAUUUUGUGCAGCAGUAACUUGGUCCAGAAAAAUGAUUAACGAUACAAAGGAGGUGAGAAACAUUGUUCCCGCAUCAGUAAUUAGUGUAGAAAUGUAUAACAUACUUAACUUUACAUACCAUGAACAAGAACGCUAAUCCAGCCUAACCGUAGCUGUUGAGCUACGUAACUUUGCAGUAUCAUAAUUCUUUGUUUUUUAAAUCACCGGUCUCAGCUAGAUUGCUAUAUUAUAAUAUGAAUUAACGUUGCACACAACGUAUGUGAAAUAACGCGUUUUCAUCAAUAAAAGGAAUUACUGUGUAUAAUCAGCAGAUGGCGAUGUUGGGUUGCCUUUGUCCACAAAAAGUAGACUUGUUUCUCCCAUUUCUGUCCAAUUACUAUGCUGUUAGCCUACCAAAUUCAGUGAGCCAGUAUGCUCCGUUUAGCACAUUCUUACAAAAAUAGUGAUUUCUAUAAUGAAAUGAAAAUAUUCAUAUGUAUAUACAAACAUAUUAUAAUUUUAAAUCACAGGUAAUUGUUGUAGUGCAAAUGUAUAUUAAUUUAAGUACUAUCCUGCACCUUCCUACAUUAGACCAUAGCCAUUUUGCACUUAAAUUAAUAAAUGACUAAAAACUUUCAAAUUAAUUUGUUUAUAUUCUGAAAAGUAGUUAUUUUAUGCAUUGUGUUAUGCAUAACAGUGGCUAUUUAUAUAUUAUUAAGGAAAUGUAAUUGUUAUAAGAACUGAAAUGCCAUUUCUACCAUGUGUUUGUAUUGUACAUUGUGUAGAACAGGUCCCAGGUAAGAUGGCGGUCUAAUUGCUCCAUUCUGAUUUAUAGGGGCUCUAUGACAUAAGCCCAUCUACUUUUCUAUUAUCUAUGGCAGAGACACUACAGAACCUGUAUAAAGACAAGGAUCACAUUGGAUAUGUCAACUGGCUAAGGAAGCAGACAUCCAGGAAACCUGGGGACCCUAUAGAAGCAGCCCUUAAAUACAUAAGGCACCCUGACUAGGAGGCAGCUACACCCCUUUCUCCACUUGCUGGUAUUAAGACGCUUCAGAGUAAAUAUUAGUAUUAGUAAAGAUGACCUGUUAAUUCAUCUAAUAAAGUAUAAUGUUACUUUAUUCCCCACUGUUUGCUUGGUGUUAAAGGCCUCUUGGUGCAGCAGUGGUCCCAGUGUUUUUGGGGCAGUGUUCAGUGGACAACUGCAUUCAACAGCGAGGAAGAUCCUUGCCCCAAAGACUGCAGUUCCUAGUAUCUUCAUAUUGGAGAAUUGCAAGAAACAUUAUAAUGAGCUCUUGAUGACUAAGACCACAUUUAACACACAUUUCUAUGUGUGAAGAGGAGGCUGCCCCAUGGCAGUCUUUCCUGCCUCCAAGGCCUGCACAUGCAAGUCCAGAGCUGCUGCAUCCUGAGAGCUGGCGGGCAUGUCUGAACAAAGAGCAGCAGCAGAUCGGCCGUACACUGUUCACCAGGAGUAGCACUGGGAGAUAUAAAAUUACCAGAGUUGGUCUGUGGUGGUACCCUCCCCAACCUUGGCUGACCUACAAUCAGCCACCUGAGUCGCCUGACCCCUUCUUUGCAUGUCCGCUGUUCCUCUACAUACAUGGUCAUUCAAGCUGGCACGCACCCGGCCUGGGUGUAACACUCUUCUCACCAAGGCUGGGCUUUACAAGACCAUCCAGAGAGUCUUGGAUGUCAAGGGCUAGUACCCCAUGGCCACGGAGUGUCUGCGUUCUUCCACCACAUUACAUGUGAAUUCAUUGGUGUUGAGUACCUGUACACCCAGACCAACAAAGUGCUGCAGGAAGUCAACCGGACCCCGACACUCCAGAUGAGGCUGAUGCUGUCGAGGGACCCCUGGAGGAUGAGGGCUUUGAGGAGACAGGAUAAGGACGCCACCACCCCAGCCUCGCUGCCGGCCUCGUUCUCCACUUCAGUAGUAGCCCCGCCAGGUAAUCCAGCUGAUGCACCCCUAUUUGUCAUGACAUUCUAAACCAAAUGUUUCCUGAAAGGCUUUUUAUUUUAUUUUUUUAAUGUAUUUGUAACAUUCAGAAGGAGUGCCAAGGGCCAGAUACCAGCAGGUCUGCAGGCUGGCCAAGAGGGUCUUCAGGGGCUCACGGAUCGAAAGGUAGACUGUCUGAUAGGACUGUGGCAAACACUACCGCAGCCAGAGGAGUUGUCGACACUUUCCGUCACCAGGACAGGCUCGAGCGCGGGCGGUUCAAAGCGAUUAAAGGGAAACUGCUGGAAAGGACAGUGUUCAAUGGUAUUUGGUUAAUAUAAUAAUUAUUUCAACAGUUGCCAUCCACUGCCAACACUAACAAGUAUUCUUUGUUCAAAUCUUUGUCUUUCAGUUGCUUUCUCAGACUUAACCCGGGUCCUGCUACGUGGCCAGGCGGCAGUCGCCUGGUCGAGGCCAUUUGCAGCCAGCUCUGUCACCAGCAUCCAUGCGGCCCUAAGAGGUGCAGGUGGGCGAUCCUCUUCAGUCAGAGAGGCGGUGCUGAACAGCCCAGGGUUGAUGGCCCAGACCAACACCACGGUCUAUGAGCUGAAGUCAGAGGACGGUCUAACAAUAGUAAGAUGAUGAUGAUACAUGUAGACAUUAUUAAUAAUUAGCAGCAUCAUGUUCCUGAUGGUCCUGUAGUCCUUCUGGAUGGCAGCCCACCUGUUGUCCCGCACACCAAGGACAGUCUGGCAAAGCUCCAAAAAGAAAGCCUCUACUGUGCUGCUAGUGUUGGGCCACAGGGCAGGUCCAGGUCCUUGUCCAAAUAGGGAGCUAAAAGGAUAUUAAAUUAUAAAAGACAACAUCUAUGAAGAACACAAAACACCCUGUUUAGUGAGAAAGUGAUUUCGGCACAAAGUGCAGUACUUACCGCUUCAUGCUAUCUUCCCCCUCGACUGCUGUGGUCUUUGAGGAGACUCAUCUUGUUCGCCUCUGGAAGAUUCUCUCACAGGGCGAUUAUCUCUUUGGGCAUGCCGAGUCGAGAUCGACAGCCUCUCCAAGAGUCUCAUCAGACUUUUGGCAAGGAGAACGACAUGUUGAUACCCGACAACCCCAUCAGGACUUGUGUACUCCUGGAAAUAUGAAGUGUAAUUGCAAGGGGUUGGAUUAUUGGAUAUGAAUAAGAAAAGAAAAAAAAUGACGAUGUGAGCGGUUUGUGAUGUGGAUAUGCACUUACAUCCUCCUCCAGGUCCUGACAGAUAGUAGGGGGCAAUGGAGCAGCCUUCUUGAGGUAAGGAAGAGCCUAGUCACGCUGUUCCCAAGUGUACGCUCCCUCGUCUAUUCUGACUACCUUCAGGUCACAGGACAGCCUGAUACACCAUGGGAAUUAACCGAAAAGCCAAGAUCGCUGAGAACUUGUGUCCACCUGGUUAAGGACAUCCAGUGACCAACCUGCCAACUUCUUUUCACAGGGGUUGCAUUCUAGAUAUUCCAUCCCCAUUAAAUACCAUCCAUCGAUGUCAAGCACCUUCCGGACAGUCCUGUACACCACGCAACGUGUUAGCCUGUGGCGCUUGCACUGUGGCAAACAAAGUUUGGGGCACAGGUCAUUUGAUAUUAGUAUUGAAUUAUUAGUAUUAGUACUGAAACCAAUGACAUCAGAAUAUAUACUUGCCAGAAUUAGGUGUUUUGGCUGGAGUUUCGUCUCUGCACUGGAGAUAGACCUUGAAGUGAGCCAUUGAUGUUCCCUCUUCACUUUGCCCUUCUGGAAGCAGGUCAUAUAGCUGUAUUAAAAACAAACAAAAAUGUACACACUAACAGUCAAAAGUUUUUUUCCAGUUUGGCUGAGGUCAUGGGACAGAAACUCACUCCUUCAUAAACACUGUGUCCUGUCUUUAAUUUACUACAUUUCUUGCAGUACUAUACUUUGCUGGGCUUGUGCACACAGACUGUUUGAAGAAACAGACAGAUAUUCCUUGUAUCUUGUGUACCCCAAAGCCAACAAGGUGUAGGUGUCCCUGAUCACGUUAAGGGAGUGAGGUUCCACCUCUACUGCCCUCUGGGAACAGGCUGCCAUACCUGUUCAGGUGGUUGAGAUAAUGCUAUAUAAUGUGUUGCAAUGUGGAUUGAUUUACGGUGUGUACGUGUCAUCAUACAAGAUACUUAUUUCCAUUAAAACAUUUACCAAUUUAAGCAGUCCUGGUUUGCCAUCUUGGGAGACAACUAUGUCUUUACUAGCUGUCUCAUUAAGUACAUCAGAUUGAACUGUACAAUAUGGAUUGUUUGAGUCUAAGCUUUGUGAAUUCAUUGGUACAAUUAAAUAGAAGUAGAAUAUUUGAAUGUAUCUACCUCCAUAUGAUACAAUGUCAUAAAUAUACAUUAUGCUGUGUGUAUAGUACUAAUCUGUGUCAUGUUUUCAUUCAUCAGAUGGUAAUCACCCAUUUUUACUCUUAAAUUAAUUGAAAACAAUAAAAAGUGC
ensembl:lncRNA